CGAGCGCACCCUCGCCUUUAGUUGCCGCGCAAGCGGAUCUCUAGAGGGACUGCCGGUGUUAAACCGGAGGAAGGUGGGGAUGACGUCAAGUCCUCAUGGCCUUUAUGACCAGGGCUACGCACGUGCUACAAUGGCCGGUACAAAGCGUUGCCAACUCGCGAGAGGGAGCUAAUCGCAUAAAACCGGUCUCAGUUCAGAUUGGAGUCUGCAACUCGACUCCAUGAAGGCGGAAUCGCUAGUAAUCGUGGAUCAGAAUGCCGCGGUGAAUACGUUCCCGGGCCUU
rnacentral:rRNA from 1 species